rnacentral:rRNA from 1 species
GACGAAACGUGCGAACGUUAUUCGGAAUCACCGGGCUUAAAGGGCGCGUAGGCGGGCCGCAUAGUCAGGGGUGAAAGCCUCCAGCUCAACUGGAGAAGUGCCUUUGAUACUGGCGGCCUCGAGGGGUGCAGGGGCGUGCGGAACUUCGGGUGGAGCGGUGAAAUGCGUAGAUAUCCGAAGGAACACCGGUGGCGAAGGCGGCACGCUGGACACCUUCUGACGCUGAGGCGCGAAAGCCAGGGGAGCAAACGGG